rnacentral:rRNA from 1 species
CCCUUAGAUGUUCUGGGCCGCACGCGCGCUACACUGACGGAGGCAGCGAGCAUGUCCUGCGCCGAGAGGUGUGGGGAAUCUUGUGAGUCUCCGUCGUGCUGGGGAUAGAUGGUUGCAAUUGUCGAUCUUGAACGAGGAAUUCCUAGUAAGCGCGAGUCAUCAGCUCGCGCUGAUUACGUCCCUGCCCUUUGUACACACCGCCCGUCGCUACUACCGAUUGAACGGUUUAGUGAGGGCCUCGGAUUGGUCUCGGCCCGCUCUUUACCGGGCGGCGCCGUUGGUCGAGAAGACGCUCGAACUUGAUCGUUUAGAGGAAGUAAAAGUCGUAACA